CCUACGGGAGGCAGCAGUGAGGAAUAUUGGUCAAUGGACGCAAGUCUGAACCAGCCAUGCCGCGUGCAGGAAGACGGCUCUAUGAGUUGUAAACUGCUUUUGUACGAGGGUAAACGCAGAUACGCGUAUCUGUCUGAAAGUAUCGUACGAAUAAGGAUCGGCUAACUCCGUGCCAGCAGCCGCGGUAAUACGGAGGAUUCAAGCGUUAUCCGGAUUUAUUGGGGUUAAAGGGUGCGUAGGCGGUCGGAUAAGUUAGAGGUGAAAUCCCGAGGCUCAACGUCGGGAUUGCCGCUGAUACUGGUCGGCUAGAGAUGAGUUGCGGUAGGCGGAAUGUGUGGUGUAGCGGUGAAAUGCUUAGAGAUCAGACAGAACACCGAGUGCGAAGGCAGCAUACCAAGCUACUACUGACGUUGAGGCACGAAAGCGUGGGGAGCAAACAGGAUUAGAUACCCGGGUAGUC
rnacentral:rRNA from 1 species